rnacentral:tRNA from 1 species
GCCUUCGUGGUGCAGUGGUCAGCACACUGAGCCGGUAUUUCAGAGGUCCGCGGUUCGAUUCCCGGCGAAGGCC